rnacentral:rRNA from 1 species
UACGUAGGGCGCAAGCGUUAUCCGGAAUGAUUGGGCGUAAAGCGUCCGCAGGUGGCUGUGUAAGUCUGCUGUCAAAGAGCAAAGCUCAACUUUGUAAAGGCAGUGGAAACUACACGGCUAGAGUGCGUUCGGGGCAGAGGGAAUUCCUGGUGUAGCGGUGAAAUGCGUAGAGAUCAGGAAGAACACCGGUGGCGAAGGCGCUCUGCUAGGCCGCAACUGACACUGAGGGACGAAAGCUAGGGGAGCGAAUGGG